rnacentral:misc_RNA from 1 species
GAUGAAGAACGUAGUGAAAUGCGAUACUUGGUGUGAAUUGCAGAAUCCCGUGAACCAUCGAGUCUUUGAACGCAAGUUGCGCCCGAAGCCAUCAGGUUGAGGGCACGUCUGCCUGGGCGUCACAUAUCGUUGCCCAAUGCCUAUUGCAGUGCAAUAGGAAUUUCUAGGGCGAAUGAUGGCUUCCCGUGAGCGUUGUUGCCUCGCGGUUGGUUGAAAAUCGAGUCCUUGGUAGGGUGUGCCAUGGUAGAUGGUGGUCGAGUUAGAACGAUACCGAUCAUGUGCAUGCUCCCCAAAAUAUGGCCUCUAUGACCCACACGCGUCUUUUGACGCUCAUGACGAGACCUCAGGUCAGGCGGGGCUACCCGCUGAACUUAAGCAUAUCAAUAAGCGGAGGA